GGGAGGUAGUGACAAUAAAUAACAAUACGGGGUUCUUUCGGAUUUCGUAAUUGGAAUGAGUACAAUUUAAAUCUCUUAACGAGGAACAAUUGGAGGGCAAGUCUGGUGCCAGCAGCCGCGGUAAUUCCAGCUCCAAUAGCGUAUAUUAAAGUUGUUGCAGUUAAAAAGCUCGUAGUUGAACCUUAGGCCCGUGCGGGCGGUCCGUCCUCUGGGCGAGCACUGCUUCGUCGCGGGUCUCACCUUCUGGCGAGCGUGGAUGCCAUUUAUUUGGUGUCCGCGGGAACCAGGACCUUUACCUUGAAAAAAUUAGAGUGCUCAAAGCGGGCUCCGACGCUUGAAUACAUUAGCAUGGAAUAAUGAAAUAGGACGAUGGUUCUAUUUUGUUGGUUUCCGGGACGGUCGUAAUGAUUAAUAGGGAUAGUUGGG
rnacentral:rRNA from 1 species